rnacentral:rRNA from 1 species
UACAGAGGCCUCGAGCGUUAGGCGGAAUCACUGGGCUUAAAGCGUGUGUAGGCGGAAUCGUAAGUACCUUGUGAAAUCCCAUGGCUCAACCAUGGAACUGCUCGGUAUACUGCGAAUCUUGAGCCACUUAGGGGCUACCGGAACAAAUGGUGGAGCGGUGAAAUGCGUAGAUAUCAUUUGGAACGCCAAUGGUGAAAACAGGUAGCUGGGAGUGUGCUGACACUGAGACACGAAAGCCAGGGGAGCGAACGGG